rnacentral:lncRNA from 1 species
AGGUCAUGUGAAACCGUUGGACAGGUGUUGCCACACUUCCCUCCCCGCUAAUGAAUCUGGCUGUGCUGUGAGGAUUGAGCUGGAGACCUCAAAUCAAUGUUUGCAGCAGACAGCAAUGUCAGGAAGGUGUGAAUCUGCCACACAGCAAGAUGGUCUUAGCAAGGAGUCCGUUCAAGAUACAAGGCCUCAGCCCUCAGCUCCCAGCUCCAGUUGCCAUGCCUGCCUGCUGCCACACUUCCUUGCUGUGAUAGUGAUGGACUCCUAUCUCCCUGGAACUAAUCACCGAUGGGGAUAAGGAUUCCUCAAAGCUGCUUUGGAAGAGAGGAGAAUUGUGCUGGGAAGGGAGAGAACAAAGAGAAGGGCUGCUACAUACCUGCCUCCUAGAAAAAACGAUCCAGGGGCCUCUUCUACCAGAGUAGCUAUGAUUUAGUAAAGGUGCCUCGAAGGAGUGUAUCCCAGGCUCUGC